AUACAUAACACUUAAUACAUAACGGUUUUUUGAAAAAACCGUUAUGUAUGAGCGCACUUUUAGGUAUAGAUAACGGUUUGACAAAAAACCGUUAUCUAUGUAGUGUUCUCCAUACUCAUAGAUAACGGUUUAAGUUAUUCCGUUAUGUUUGUGCGUUAUCUAUUAGUUGCAUACAUAACGGUACUACAAAACCGUUAGGCCGACCGUUAUCUAUGAGCAUCCUUUUAUAACGGUUAUUUUAACCGUUAUAUAUGAGCACCUCAAUACUGUUAUGUAUUAUUUUUUAUACUUAUUUUUAAAUUUAAUUUUAUUAUAAAAAAUCAAACCCCUAACCACCCCCACCAAAUUUCCCCAAAUCGAAGACGUCGCCUAGUACCCUCUCUAUCUCUCAGCUCUUGUCGCCGUCGGAGAUGCCGUCCACCGCCGCCCUCUGUCCGCAGCAGCAAAGCAGGCCGAGCAAGGCGAGCGUUGGGCUUGUGCUAUUGGCGGUGAUAGGCGUCGGACAGAGGCUCUUCAGAGGACUGCAGACCAUCCUCGCGCGACGGGGAGUUUGCAGAGACAAGUCGUAGCAACGCUGGCGGUGGACGGUGAAUGAUCGAGACGUGGAAGUGCAUUUCGGCGGCCAUCCAGACGGCGGCCGAGUGUACGACGGCGGCGGGCUAGGGUUUUCAAACCCUAGCUGUGAAGAAGAUAAGAAACGGGUCAGAAAGAUGGGUCUUCGGGGCAGGAUUACAUAUGGAGGGUUCACAAAAUCCCAGGGAGCAAGAAAUGGGAAUUGGCCAUGAGAAGCCAUCAAUUGUGGGAGGAGAUGGCUGCGAGCAUCACGAAUCAAGAUACUGGUUUCAGUGUUGCUGCAAGUUACUUAAUUAAACGAUACUCCUGGUCUGAAGAAGGCUGAUAUUGGAAGUGCCGUUCCUUUUCAGACCGUCGUCCAUCUGUCCGUCGGCAACUCACGCACACCGCACACGGUAAGCCCUCUCUCUCAGAAUUAGAAUUACAGUAGUCUUUUUCUUAUGUUUUUAGAAUUAGAAUUACAGAUUUGCUUGAAUUUGUUUCGAAUUUUACUCUGUUAUUGUAGUUGGGUACAUGGAAUAUUGCUUAGUUUCAUUUUAUUUGCUAAACUUAAUCAUGUGAAGCUUUUAUUAUUAAAUGAAAUGUAAAGUAUUUUCAUAGGACUAGCAGAUAGCUUGAAAUUUGAUAUUUUGGUACUUUGAUUUGGUAUCUAUUUUUUCAUAUUCAUCGCUCUGAUUUCAUGAAGCAUAGAUGGCGUUUAUGAUUUUUAGUUGUCAUUCUAGCUAGGCAUUGACAUUGAACAACCUGAUGAAAUCUUGAAACCAAAUUGCCAUU